GACGAACGCUGGCGGCGUGCUUAACACAUGCAAGUCGAACGGAAAGGCCCUGCUUGCCGGGUACUCGAGUGGCGAACGGGUGAGUAACACGUGGGUGAUCUGCCCUGCACUUCGGGAUAAGCCUGGGAAACUGGGUCUAAUACCGGAUAGGAGCCAUUUUUAGUGUGAUGGUUGGAAAGUUUUUUCGGUGUAGGAUGAGCUCGCGGCCUAUCAGCUUGUUGGUGGGGUAAUGGCCUACCAAGGCGGCGACGGGUAGCCGGCCUGAGAGGGUGGACGGCCACAUUGGGACUGAGAUACGGCCCAGACUCCUACGGGAGGCAGCAGUGGGGAAUAUUGCACAAUGGGCGAAAGCCUGAUGCAGCGACGCCGCGUGGGGGAUGACGGCCUUCGGGUUGUAAACUCCUUUCGCUAGGGACGAAGCUUUUUGUGACGGUACCUAGAUAAGAAGCACCGGCUAACUACG
rnacentral:rRNA from 1 species